rnacentral:rRNA from 1 species
ACGGAUAACCGUAGUAACCUAGGGCUAAUACGUGACAACAGCUUUGUUCGCAAAGUGUGCAUGUUAGCUCAAAACCAAUUUUGGUUGAACAAUAACAUUUGUCUGAUCGCGUUGGAAUUUCCAGCGACAUGUCAUUCAAGUUUCUGCCCUAUCAGCUUGACGGUAGGUUAUUAGCCUACCGUGGCGGUGACGGGUAACGGGGAAUUUUGGUUCGAUUCCGGAGAGGCAGCCUGAGAAACGGCUACCACAUCCACGGGAGGCAGCAGGUGCGCAAAUUACUCAAUGUUGAUAAAACGAAGUAGUAACAAGAGAUAACGAUCAGCGGCAUUUUAUGUUGCUCAUUCGGAAUGAGAACAAUUUAAAACCCUUAUCGAUUAUCAAGCGGAGGGCAAGUCUGGUGCCAGCAGCCGCGGUAAUACCAGCUCCGCUAGCGUAUAUUAAAGUUGUUGCUGUUAAAAAGCUCGUAGUUGGAUAUCAGGGGGACCGGCAUGGCCCAGUCGUGUUUUACGUCUGCGCGCCAAGGCUCUGCCGCGCCGGCCCUUCUUAAUUCAGUGUCUUUGGUCUGGUUAUUAACUUAGCCGGGCCGAUGAACCUGAUCUUUUACUUUGAGAAAAUUAAAGUGCUCAAAGCAGGCAAUCGCCUGAAUGCAUUAGCAUGGAAUAAUAAAACAAGACUUUGGCACCAGCCUGGCUGGAAGUUUUGUUGGUUUUGUGCUAAAGUAAUGAUUGAUAGGAACAAUUGGGGUGCUAGUAUCGCCASGCUAGAGGUAAAAUUCUUUGACCCUGGUGAGACUAACUUAUGCGAAAGCAUUCACCAAGUUUGUUUUUUUUAAUCAAGAACUAAAGUGGGGGGAUCGAAGACGAUCAGAUACCGUCGUAGUCCCAACCAUAAACCAUGUCGGCUAAGUGUUGGAAAAGUCAUACUUUUUCAGAACUUUGAGAGAAAUCAAAGUUUUUGGACUCAGGGGGAAGUAUGCUCGCAAGAGUGAAACUUAAAGGAAUUGACGGAAAAGCACCACAAGAUGUGGAGCCUGCGGCUUAAUUUGAUUCAACACGGGAAACCUUACCAGGUCAGGACAUAGUAAGGAUUGACAGAUUCAAGUUCUUUCUUGAUUCUAUGAAUGGUGGUGCAUGGCCGUUGUUGGUUGGUGGAGUGAUCUGUCUGGUUAAUUCCGAUAACGAACGAGACCUCAGCCAUCUAAAUAGCUCUCGCUAACUUUUAGCGUCCAGCCCAGGCUGGGUUGAGCUUCUUAGAGGGACAAUCUGUGUUCAGCAGAUGGAGGAUUGAGGCAAUAACAGGUCAGUGAUGCCCUUAUAUGCUCUGGGCCGCACGCGCGCUACAAUGGCGCUUGCAACAAGUUCCUCGUUCGAAAGAACUUGGCAACCUCGAAUGAGCGUCAAAGUUGGGAUAGAUGAUUGCAAUUGUUCAUCUUGAACAAGGAAUAUCUAGUAAACGCAAGUCAUCAACUUGCAUUGAUUACGUCCCUGCUUUUUGUACACACCGCCCGUCGCUUCUACCGAUUGAAUUGCUGGGUGAAUUGGAUGGAUUGGCCGAGUUCGCUCGACCAAAAAGUCCCAUGAAUCCAGUAAUUUAGAGGAAGGAAAAGUCGUAAGAAGG